CUCAUCAGUUGCCAUUGUGUUGCACCUCUCAUCGCCUGCUUCGACCUGCACCUUUGACGACCACAAGUAAAUCUUCAAUCAGCAAAACACCACUGGGCGGAAGUUCGUGUGAACGUGAGUGCCUUUAACAGCCAUUGUCGGUUGCAAUUGGGAAUAGGGAUUGGAGCAGUUUUAAUGCAGGAUCGGAGGCCUAUUGCAUAUUUCAGCGAGAAAUUGAGUGGAGAUGCUUUAAAUUAUCCUACAUAUGACAAGGAACUUUAUGCACUUGUUCGAGUUUGGCCGAAGGAGUUCGUAAUACACACUGAUCAUAAGUUACUAAAGCACUUGCGGGGACAAGGUAAAUUGAACAAGAGGCAUGCACGGUAAAUGGAAUUCAUUGAGACAUUUCCAUACGUCAUUCGGUAUAAACAAGGUAAGGAAAAUGUGGUGGCGGAUGCGUUGUCGUGAAGGUACGUAUUGCUAAUUACUCUUGAUUCUAAACUACUUGGAUUUUUAACAUAUUAAGGAAUUGUACGAAAAAGAUGUUGAAUUUUCGGAUAUUUAUUUGUCAUGCAUAAAUGGGGCGGUUGAUAGGUUCUUUAGGCAUGAGGGGUAUUUAUUUCGGAAAAAUAGGUUAUGUGUUCCUAAUUGUUCUAUUCGGGAGUUGUUAGUAAGGGAGGCAUAUAGUGGUGGAUUGAUUGGACACUUUGGGAUUCAAAAGACUUUAGAUGUAUUGAAGGAGCAUUUUUAUUGGCCUAAAAUGAAAAGUGAUGUUGAGCGAAUUUGUAGUCGAUGCAUAGAUUGUAAAAAUGUUAAAUCUAAGGUUUUAUCUCAAGGUUUAUACACACCUUUACCUACACCUAAUGAGUCUUGGGUUGAUAUCUCGAUGGACUUUGUUUUGGGUUUACCUAGGACUAAGAGAUGUCGGGAUUCUAUUUUUGUGGUUGUAGAUAGGUUCAGUAAAAUGACAAAUUUAUACCAUGUCACAAAAUUGAUGAUGCCACGAGCAUUGCUGACUUAUUCUUUAAAGAGAUUGUGCGUUUACAUGGAGUUCCUAGAACCUUAGUGUUGGAUCAGGAUGCCAAAUUUUUGAGUCACUUUUGGAGAGUUUUGUGGGGUAAGUUAGGCACUAAGUUACUAUUUUCUACAACUUGUCACCCAUAAACGGAUGGGCAAACCGAGGUAGUGAAUAGGACUAUGACAUAAUUGUUACGCACAGUAAUCAAUAAAAAUUUGAAAAGUUUGGAGGAGUGUCUACCAUUUGUUGAAUUUGCAUACAAUCGAGCUGUUCACUCUACUACAUCAUAUUCUCCAUUUGAAAUUCUAUAUGGUUUUAAUCCACUAACUUUUUUGGAUUUAAUUCCUUUACCUGUGAAUGAACGUGGUAGUUUAGAUAGCAAAAAGAAGGCGGAAUUGGUUAAGUCGCUCCAUAAAAAGGUAAAAGCGCAAAUUGAAAACAAAAGUAAGUAAGUUGGUUACGUCGUAGGCGAACAAAGGUAGGAAGCGCGUGACAUUUGAACCAGGAAAUUAGGUUUGUGUGCACUUUAGGAAGGAGCGAUUUCCUGAGCAAAGAAAGUCUAAGUUGCAACCGAGGGACGAUGGUCCAUUUCAAGUUAUUGAAAAGAUAAACGACAAUACUUACAAGUUGGACCUUCCAGAUGAGUACAAUGUUUCGGCUACUUUUAAUAUAUCUGAUCUCUCUCUAUUUGAUGCAGGUUCAGAUUCGAGGACGAAUCCUUUAGCAACUGGAGAUGCUAAAGAACUUAGUACAUGGGAAACGGAAGAUACUCACAUUAUUUCUUGAAUUUUGGGGCUAUGAAGGCACACAUGGUGAAUUUUUUUAUGCUAUUUCACUACUGCAAAGGAGAUGUAAAAGCACUUAAAGCACAUUUAUCAUCAAGAUAAUAAUGCACGAAGAUUUCAAUUGGAGUUAGAGAUUGCCAAUUACACUCAAGGUAAUCUUACUAUUGAACAAUAUUAUUCUGGUUUUCUAAACUGGUAAAGUGAGUAUUCCGGCACAAGUCAUGCUAAUAUUCCUAUGAUAACCUUAUUAGAAUUACAAGAGGUUCAAGAGAUUAGUAAGGAGAUAAGUUUCUUAUGAAAUUACAACUUGAAUUUGAAGUUGCUCAGGCAGAUUUAUUGAAUCAAGAUCUGGUUCCUUCUUUAGAUGUGUGCUGGGGUAAACUUUUGCAUGGGGAACAACGACUAGCCAUCCAAUCUACCAUGGGAUAUGAUAUAUCCUGAUUUAAUAUGGUGAAAUUUGCAUAUGUUGUCCAAAGACAAGCAAAGGGCAAAUCUUAGUGCUUCUGCUGCAAAGGAUACAAUCAUAUUGUUCAUCAUUGUCCUAAAAAAUUCUACAACAUUUCUAACCAGCUAGGGCAUAUCACCAAGGAGUGUCCCAUGCGGCCCUAGAACUGAAUAGCUUAAGCCUUUCUAGCUGAUAUUCAGGAUCCUUUUCUCGAACAUUUUCAAGCUAGAGCCAGUCAAUUCUUAUCCCAGAAAUGAUUUAGCAGAUGAUUGUUUUACCCUUUCUGCCUUUGGUCCACAAGAUGAGGGUCAAGUUGUUUCUUUUCCCUAGCUUGUUGUUCAGGGAUGUUGAAUCAUAUGACAUAUAGUUUUUAUUCCUUGCAUAGCAUUCAGUGCUACACUGGCACACAACACAUUUAGAUUGCUAAUGAUAGUACCCUUCCAUUUAUUGCUACUAAUGAUAUCAAGUUUUCUUUUGAUAAUUUCUUUUCGUAUUUUUGGGUUAUCAACAACUUGAUUUUGGUUGGUCAAUUAAUUUAUAAUAAAUAUGAUGAGUGUUUCUCUUGUAUUGGUCGUCUUGUGCAGGAUAAGAGGUCGAGGAAAGUCGCAAAUGUGCUUAAAGUAGAAAAUCUACAGUUUACUAUUCUUAUUGUUAUAUUUUUUUACUUGUACUAGUGUUGCCCUUAAUUAUGAAAUUUGACAUAAAAGAUUAGGUCAUCUCAAUACUUUGAUAUUUAUGAAAUUUGACAUAAAAGAUUAGGUCAUCUCAAUACUUUGAUAUUGUCUCAUUUCUUAAAUUGUGGAUUUUUAGGUAAUAAAGAUCAAUCUUAGUUUUCAAAUUUGAUUUUUAAUUGUAAUACUUGCAAACUUAGGAAAAGCAAGGCCUUUCCAUUUUUCGUUCAUGACAGUCGUGAUGAUAAAUGUUUUAAGAUUUUUGAUUUUGA